rnacentral:rRNA from 1 species
AACGAACGCUGGCGGCAUGCCUAACACAUGCAAGUCGAACGAGACCUUCGGGUCUAGUGGCGCACGGGUGCGUAACGCGUGGGAAUCUGCCCUUGGGUUCGGAAUAACAGCGAGAAAUUGCUGCUAAUACCGGAUGAUGACGUAAGUCCAAAGAUUUAUCGCCCAAGGAUGAGCCCGCGUAGGAUUAGCUAGUUGGUGAGGUAAAGGCUCACCAAGGCGACGAUCCUUAGCUGGUCUGAGAGGAUGAUCAGCCACACUGGGACUGAGACACGGCCCAGACUCCUACGGGAGGCAGCAGUGGGAUAUUGGACAAUGGGCGGAAAGCCUGAUCCAGCAAUGCCGCGUG